AGGACGAACGCUGGCGGCGUGCUUAACACAUGCAAGUCGAGCGGGCAUCAACCGGUGGCAACACUGGUGAAGUGCUAGCGGCGAACGGGUGAGUAACACGUGAGCAACCUGCCCCCAAGUCUGGGAUAACCCCGGGAAACCGGAGCUAAUACCGGAUGCCCUCUCCGGACCGCAUGGUCUGGCGAGGAAAGAAUUUCGCUUGGGGAGGGACUCGCGGCCUAUCAGCUUGUUGGUGGGGUAAUGGCCUACCAAGGCUUCGACGGGUAGCUGGUCUGAGAGGACGACCAGCCACACUGGGACUGAGACACGGCCCAGACUCCUACGGGAGGCAGCAGUGGGGAAUCUUGCGCAAUGGGCGAAAGCCUGACGCAGCAACGCCGCGUGGGGGAUGAAGGCUCUCGGGUCGUAAACCCCUUUCAGUGGGAACGAAAUGACGGUACCACAGAAGAAGGACCGGCCAACUACGUGCCAGCAGCCGC
rnacentral:rRNA from 1 species